GCUGACAAGAGGCCAGCAGCCGUGGUAGAACGGAGGGGUGGGUGGUUAAUAGGAGUUGCAGGUGGUAAAGCGUGCGCAGGCGGGUUUGUAAGACAGGCGUUAAAUCCCCGGGCUUAACCUGGGAAUGGCGCUUGGUACUGCCAGGCUAGAGUGCGUCAGAGGGGGGUAGAAUUCCACGUGUAGCAGUGAAAUGCGUAGAGAUGUGGAGGAAUACCGAUGGCGAAGGCAGCCCCCUGGGACGUGACUGACGCUCAUGCACGAAAGCGUGGGGAGCAAACAGGAUUAGAUACCCCGGUAGUC
rnacentral:rRNA from 1 species